UACGUAGGGGGCUAGCGUUGCUCGGAAUCACUGGGCGUAAAGGGUGCGUAGGCGGGUCUUUUAAGUCAGGGGUGAAAUCCUGGAGCUCAACUCCAGAACUGCCUUUGAUACUGAAGAUCUUGAGUUCGGGAGAGGUGAGUGGAACUGCGAGUGUAGAGGUGAAAUUCGUAGAUAUUCGCAAGAACACCAGUGGCGAAGGCGGCUCACUGGCCCGAUACUGACGCUGAGGCACGAAAGCGUGGGGAGCAAACAGGG
rnacentral:rRNA from 1 species